rnacentral:rRNA from 1 species
AGCAGUAGGGAAUCUUCUGCAAUGGACGAAAGUCUGACAGAGCAACGCCGCGUGAGAGAAGAAGGUCUUCGGAUUGUAAAACUCUGUUGUCAGGGAAGAACACCCGGGAGAGGAUCCCGGCUUGACGGUACCUGACGAGAAAGCCCCGGCUAACUACGUGCCAGCAGCCGCGGUAAUACGUAGGGGGCGAGCGUUGUCCGGAAUCAUUGGGCGUAAAGCGCGCGCAGGCGGCUUCUUAAGUCUGAUGUGAAAGCCCACGGCUCAACCGUGGAGGGCCAUUGGAAACUGGGAGGCUUGAGUGCAGGAGAGGAGAGUGGAAUUCCUGGUGUAGCGGUGAAAUGCGUAGAGAUCAGGAGGAACACCGAUGGCGAAGGCAGCUCUCUGGCCUGUAACUGACGCUGAGGCGCGAAAGCGUGGGGAGCAAACAGGAUUAGAUACCCUGGUAGUCCACGCCGUAAACGAUGAGUGCUAGGUGUUAGGGGUUUACACACCCUUAGUGCCGAAGUCAACACAUUAAGCACUCCGCCUGGA